CGGGACACGUGGUAUCCUGUCUGAAUAUGGGGGGACCAUCCUCCAAGGCUAAAUACUCCUGACUGACCGAUAGUGAACCAGUACCGUGAGGGAAAGGCGAAAAGAACCCCGGCGAGGGGAGUGAAAAAGAACCUGAAACCGUGUACGUACAAGCAGUGGGAGCCUCUUUAUGGGGUGACUGCGUACCUUUUGUAUAAUGGGUCAGCGACUUAUAUUCUGUAGCAAGGUUAACCGAAUAGGGGAGCCGAAGGGAAACCGAGUCUUAACUGGGCGUUAAGUUGCAGGGUAUAGACCCGAAACCCGGUGAUCUAGCCAUGGGCAGGUUGAAGGUUGGGUAACACUAACUGGAGGACCGAACCGACUAAUGUUGAAAAAUUAGCGGAUGACUUGUGGCUGGGGGUGAAAGGCCAAUCAAACCGGGAGAUAGCUGGUUCUCCCCGAAAGCUAUUUAGGUAGCGCCUCGUGAAUUCAUCUCCGGGGGUAGAGCACUGUUUCGGCAAGGGGGUCAUCCCGACUUACCAACCCGAUGCAAACUGCGAAUACCGGAGAAUGUUAUCACGGGAGACACACGGCGGGUGCUAACGUCCGUCGUGAAGAGGGAAACAACCCAGACCGCCAGCUAAGGUCCCAAAGUCAUGGUUAAGUGGGAAACGAUGUGGGAAGGCCCAGACAGCCAGGAUGUUGGCUUAGAAGCAGCCAUCAUUUAAAGAAAGCGUAAUAGCUCACUGGUCGAGUCGGCCUGCGCGGAAGAUGUAACGGGGCUAAACCAUGCACCGAAGCUGCGGCAGCGACACUAUGUGUUGUUGGGUAGGGGAGCGUUCUGUAAGCCUGCGAAGGUGUACUGUGAGGUAUGCUGGAGGUAUCAGAAGUGCGAAUGCUGACAUAAGUAACGAUAAAGCGGGUGAAAAGCCCGCUCGCCGGAAGACCAAGGGUUCCUGUCCAACGUUAAUCGGGGCAGGGUGAGUCGACCCCUAAGGCGAGGCCGAAAGGCGUAGUCGAUGGGAAACAGGUUAAUAUUCCUGUACUUGGUGUUACUGCGAAGGGGGGACGGAGAAGGCUAUGUUGGCCGGGCGACGGUUGUCCCGGUUUAAGCGUGUAGGCUGGUUUUCCAGGCAAAUCCGGAAAAUCAAGGCUGAGGCGUGAUGACGAGGCACUACGGUGCUGAAGCAACAAAUGCCCUGCUUCCAGGAAAAGCCUCUAAGCAUCAGGUAACAUCAAAUCGUACCCCAAACCGACACAGGUGGUCAGGUAGAGAAUACCAAGGCGCUUGAGAGAACUCGGGUGAAGGAACUAGGCAAAAUGGUGCCGUAACUUCGGGAGAAGG
rnacentral:rRNA from 1 species